rnacentral:rRNA from 1 species
CCUACGGGAGGCAGCAGUGGGGAAUAUUGGGCAAUGGAGGAAACUCUGACCCAGCGACGCCGCGUGCGGGAUGAAGGCCUUCGGGUUGUAAACCGCUUUCAGUAGGGAAGAAGCGAAAGUGACGGUACCUACAAAAGAAGCACCGGCUAACUAUGUGCCAGCAGCCGCGGUAAUACAUAGGGUGCAAGCGUUGUCCGGAAUUAUUGGGCGUAAAGAGCUCGUAGGUCGUUUGUUACGUCGGAUGUGAAAACCUGAGGCUCAACCUCAGGCCUGCAUUCGAUACGGGCAAACUAGAGUUUGGUAGGGGAGACUGGAAUUCCUGGUGUAGCGGUGGAAUGCGCAGAUAUCAGGAGGAACACCAAUGGCGAAGGCAGGUCUCUGGGCCAAUACUGACACUGAGGAGCGAAAGUCUGGGGAGCGAACAGGAUUAGAUACCCUGGUAGUCCAGACCGUAAACGGUGGGCACUAGUUGUGGGAACCUUCCACGGUUUCUGCGACGCAGCUAACGCAUUAAGUGCCCCGCCUGGGGAGUACGAUCGCAAGAUUAAAACUCAAAGGAAUUGACGGCNGAGACGUGCCGACGACGACGACGAGGGAGUAGG